UACGUAGGGUGCAAGCGUUGUCCGGAAUUAUUGGGCGUAAAGAGCUUGUAGGCGGUCUGUCGCGUCUGCUGUGAAAAUCCGGGGCUCAACCCCGAACUUGCAGUGGGUACGGGCAGACUAGAGUGUGGUAGGGGAGACUGGAAUUCCUGGUGUAGCGGUGAAAUGCGCAGAUAUCAGGAGGAACACCAAUGGCGAAGGCAGCUCGCUGGGACGGUACUGACGCUGAGACGCGAAAGCGUGGGGAGCAAACAGG
rnacentral:rRNA from 1 species